rnacentral:rRNA from 1 species
UACGGAGGGUGCGAGCGUUGUUCGGAAUUAUUGGGCGUAAAGCGCGCGCAGGCGGCUCUGCAAGUCCAGGGGUGAAAUGCCGGGGCUCAACUCCGUGCAUGCCCCGGAUACUGCGGAGCUGGAGACACGUAGAGGCAAGCGGAAUUCCGGGUGUAGCGGUGGAAUGCGUAGAGAUCCGGAAGAACACCGGAGGCGAAGGCGGCUUGCUGGGCGUGAUCUGACGCUGAGGCGCGAAAGCGUGGGGAGCGAACAGG